ACGGUCCUAAGGUAGCGAAAUUCCUUGUCGGGUAAGUUCCGACCUGCACGAAUGGCAUAAUGAUGGCCAGGCUGUCUCCACCCGAGACUCAGUGAAAUUGAAAUCGCCGUGAAGAUGCGGUGUACCCGCGGCUAGACGGAAAGACCCCGUGAACCUUUACUAUAGCUUGACACUGAACAUUGAAUUUUGAUGUGUAGGAUAGGUGGGAGACUUUGAAGUAGUCACGCCAGUGAUUAUGGAGUCGUCCUUGAAAUACCACCCUUUAACGUUUGAUGUUCUAACGAAGAUUACGAAACGUGGUCUCGGACAGUGUCUGGUGGGUAGUUUGACUGGGGCGGUCUCCUCCCAAAGAGUAACGGAGGAGCACGAAGGUUUGCUAAUGACGGUCGGACAUCGUCAGGUUAGUGCAAUGGUAUAAGCAAGCUUAACUGCGAGACAGACAAGUCGAGCAGGUACGAAAGUAGGUCAUAGUGAUCCGGUGGUUCUGAAUGGAAGGGCCAUCGCUCAACGGAUAAAAGGUACUCCGGGGAUAACAGGCUGAUACCGCCCAAGAGUUCAUAUCGACGGCGGUGUUUGGCACCUCGAUGUCGGCUCAUCUCAUCCUGGGGCUGUAGCCGGUCCCAAGGGUAUGGCUGUUCGCCAUUUAAAGAGGUACGUGAGCUGGGUUUAAAACGUCGUGAGACAGUUUGGUCCCUAUCUGCUGUGGGCGUUGGAGAUUUGACGGGGGCUGCUCCUAGUACGAGAGGACCGGAGUGGACACACCUCUGGUGUACCUGUUGUCACGCCAGUGGCAUCGCAGGGUAGCUAAGUGUGGAAGAGAUAACCGCUGAAAGCAUCUAAGCGGGAAACUUGCCUGAAGAUGAGAUCUCCCUGGGGACUCGAUCCCCCUGAAGGGUCGUCCAAGACCAGGACGUUGAUAGGCCGGGUGUGGAAGCGCAGUAAUGCGUGCAGCUAACCGGUACUAAUUGCCCGUGAGGCUUGACCCU
rnacentral:rRNA from 1 species